rnacentral:rRNA from 1 species
AACGCUAGCUACAGGCUUAACACAUGCAAGUCGAGGGGUAGCAGGAUCUAGCAAUAGAUUGCUGACGACCGGCGCACGGGUGAGUAACACGUAUCCAACCUACCUUUUACUCGGAGAUAGCCUUUCGAAAGAAAGAUUAAUAUCCGAUAGUAUAAUUUGCCCGCAUGGACAGAUUAUUAAAGAAUUUCGGUAAAAGAUGGGGAUGCGUUCCAUUAGAUUGUUGGUGAGGUAACGGCUCACCAAGUCAUCGUUGGAUAGGGGUUCUGAGAGGAAGGUCCCCCACAUUGGAACUGAGACACGGUCCAAACUCCUACGGGAGGCAGCAGUGAGGAAUAUUGGUCAAUGGGCGCGAGCCUGAACCAGCCAAGUAGCGUGAAGGAUGAAGGCCCUAUGGGUCGUAAACUUCUUUUAUAGGGGAAUAAAGUGCGGGACGUGUCCCGUUUUGUAUGUACCCUACGAAUAAGGAUCGGCUAACUCCGUGCCAGCAGCCGCGGUAAUACGGAGGAUCCAAGCGUUAUCCGGAUUUAUUGGGUUUAAAGGGAGCGUAGGUGGAUCGACAAGUCAGUUGUGAAAGUUUGCGGCUCAACCGUAAAAUUGCAGUUGAUACUAUCGAUCUUGAGUACAGUAGAGGUGGGCGGAAUUCGUGGUGUAGCGGUGAAAUGCUUAGAUAUCACGAAGAACUCCGAUUG